rnacentral:lncRNA from 1 species
GGAAACUAUCCACAGUCAUCCGGGUGAGAGAUGAGGACUGAACUGAGGCAGAAGCAGUGGGGAUUUCACAAGGGAGUCUAAGACCACAGAUGCUGGAGAAGGGCGAUGGGGAGGCUGUGGUUGUUGGUUGGACAUGGGCUACGGGAGGAGAAUGAAGUAUCCACUGGGCUUGCUGAGCUGGGCAUGGGUGAGUUGGGGGGCAGAGGACACAUCCAAUGUGGACAUCCAGGUGGAUGCUCAGGCCUGGGAGUACCCCAGGAGUGCAGCUAUGUGUGUCUCCUGCCCCACAGACAACCAUGAAGGGAUGCUGGUGUACGUCAGCCCAAGGUAACCUUGGUGGACCCCUGUAACUGUCUGGCUCUAGGAUUCCUCUUC